CUGAAAUUCUGAAAGUGGUACCUACUUGUACCAGGACACUGAAAUUAAUUAUUAUUUCAUUUUGACGAUAACAUUGAUUGGUUUUUUAUAAAAUGGAUUACUAUUCGACAUGGCGACUGGCUUGUUGCCUUUUAUUUGUGAACAUGGUAAUGUCACGAGUUUUGCCAAACACUGGACAUCUGAGAUCGAACAUCAACAUAAACAAAUUCCCAAACAGCUAUUCCCCGUUGGCGCUAAAGACCGGCAGAAUUCGCGCCACAUCCUUUGAAAAUAUGUCCAUGAGACGAUCUGCGUUGAAACUUCAAGAUUUAAAGAAAUUAUUUGAUAAAGACGGAAUAAUCUACUUACCCAGCCGUUCUAAACCAUCACCAAAGUUUGUUGGAUCAAAAUAUUUAAAAAUGCUUCUCAAAAAAUUACUUACUUUCAAGGAAAAGGAUCGUUCCUAUAAAACUGGGGACAUACGUGAAGAUAAGGAUGUAUUUAGAGUGUUAUUGUUGAGUGAGUUGCGGAGAUACGCUAAGCAAGAACCGAAAACUGAAUUUGAAUUUGCUGACCUGGUUGCAUGAUUUUCUUUUUUUUACCAGACGUCCAGACUGCGCCAGAAAGAAUGGUUUUAGAGUGUAUGUAGAUAAAUUGGAAUAAAAUAAU
rnacentral:misc_RNA from 1 species